rnacentral:rRNA from 1 species
UACAGAGGGGGCAAGCGUUAUUCGGAAUUAUUGGGCGUAAAGGGCGCGUAGGCGGCCAUUCAAGUGACGGGUGAAAGCCCUCGGCUUAACCGAGGAACUGCCUGUCAGACUGGAUGGCUUGAGACCGGGAGGGGUGAGUGGAAUUCCCAGUGUAGCGGUGAAAUGCGUAGAUAUUGGGAGGAACACCAGUGGCGAAGGCGGCUCACUGGACCGGAACUGACGCUGAGGCGCGAAAGCGUGGGGAGCAAACAGG